AAUAAGACAAACUACAUGUUUGUUACCAGACUUUAGGGCCAGACCCGCGCUGUUUGUUCCAGAACAGGACUCUGGCUGAGGUGAGCUGAUGGAGGAGCCAAGACUCUGGAGGACGACAUCACUCCGCCAACCAGGAUCCUCAGACGAAUUACGUUUGUAACCAGACCACGAAUCUGGAGGACUGAUGGAGAAGCCGUACAUCUGGAAGGCAAAUCCUGAGGACCACCAGGACUCUACCAUCAAGGAUUCCUCAUAAGUUUGCAUUAUCUGGACAUAGUGGACUAGACACACCUGAGCUGAACCUCACCUGAUCCUGUUUGGUCGGGGGUAGACACACCUGAGCUAAACCCGCCCUGAUCCUGACAUCCUUCUGGUCCCGUCUCCUCAGUUCAUCUGAGCCUCGUCCUCCAGAAGACCUGCUGAGCUCAGCUGUCUGAGGCUGAUGGAUCAAUGACCUCCAGUGGGAGUGAUCUUCUUGACCCCACAUACACGGACUCUGUCUGAGGAGAGCUGCUGGAGGAGCUGAGAUGCUGGAGGACGACUAGGAAUCGACCAACAAGGAUUCCUUAACGUGUUUCUGGAGCGGAGGCGAGCUGGUAGGGGAGCCGUGAAUCUGGAGGAUGACCAUCACUCUACCAUCACUCUCUAAGUUUGUAUUA